rnacentral:rRNA from 1 species
UUGGGCACUCUAAGUUGACUGCCGGUGACAAACCGGAGGAAGGUGGGGAUGACGUCAAAUCAUCAUGCCCCUUAUGAUUUGGGCUACACACGUGCUACAAUGGACAAUACAAAGGGCAGCGAAACCGCGAGGUCAAGCAAAUCCCAUAAAGUUGUUCUCAGUUCGGAUUGUAGUCUGCAACUCGACUACAUGAAGCUGGAAUCGCUAGUAAUCGUAGAUCAGCAUGCUACGGUGAAUACGUUCCCGGGUCUUGUACACACCGCCCGUCACACCACGAGAGUUUGUAACACCCGAAGCCGGUGGAGUAACCUUUUAGGAGCUAGCCGUCGAAGGUGGGACAAAUGAUUGGGGUGAAGUCGUAACAAGGUAGCCGUAUCGGAAGGUGCGGCUGGAUCACCUCCUUU